AAGAUAACACAAUAUUCUUUCUGUGUGAAUUUGAUUCUUUGUUAUUUGGAAACCAAGGGUCAGCCUGAGACCAAGUGCAGCUCUGGAAUAUCUAUAAAGGAAGAAUAUUUAUAUAUUUAGUAAAGGCAACAAAUGGUUACCAGUGGAAGUGGGGAGAUGGGCCAAGAAGGAGCAGCACUCUGUGUGGCCAGGGGGCCGCCUCAAAACUGAGUUUAUAUAACAAGGAUACCACUUCUAUUUAGGCGGUAUAUGGUAGAGAAGCAGAGAUACCGAAAGUCUCCAAAUAUGGCCUUUUUAACCCUUUACCCAAUAUUUAAAAAUAGAAGUUGCCCUUAUCAAAAAGGCUUUUAAUAUUUUUGUAUGGAGGUAACUUUGGGAGACAGAUGGCUAUAAGGAGGGGUCUAUAUAGCUCCCCAAGCUACUCAUCGGUGGCCCCGCUCCUGAGCAGGAGGCAUCUAUGGCCUCUAGCCUUAUAUCACUAGGCAGUUAUUCAGCCCCAAAUUCAAUUUUUGCUCUUAGGGAUGUAAGCUGUUCCUCACCCACCUGCCUGGGGCCUGAUUUCUGGUUGCCUGGUCACCUCCCUCUGCUUGUUGAUCUCCCAGGCUCGGGAUUCAGGACUUGGGUGGCUCAUGCCUUGGGCCUUGAAUUUAGUCCUUAGCCGAUCAUUUUUUUUUUUUCAGUGUGACCUCAGGCUUGCUGGACUUCAAUAACCUCCAACUCGACUCUACCGCGUCUUAUCAAUUCCCCGAUCUUUCCUCCUCCACCCCAGCCUGUGAAGACCAGACAUGACAAUGAAGUCAGUUCUUUGGCAAGAGCGCGCACAAUCAGGGAGAAAGGGAAGUCUGCAAGUGAGCGUCUAUGAAAUAUGGCGAAGUCUUCUCUACAACAGGUGCACAGAGCCAAUUUCAGGACUCGGUGUGCUUUUAAUACCCACCCACCUGCUCCCAAAUCAAUAAGGACCAAUUUCCCACAUAGCCAUUCAAUCCUGGACUGUAGUCAUGAGAAAUCGAUAGGCUGCCAGGCUCCGCAGACGGCUUUUUUUUCAGGAACAAAUUUUCGGUAAUGGUUCACACACACAAAGCCAAAGGCAAGAUCAGUGCGGAUGUUUUAAUUGUUCCAGACAGAGUCAUCAAAGAACUAUUGUGUGGGCGCCGCUGAAGCACCCCCAUGUGUUCCCAAUGCAAAGGAUAGAGGCACAGAAAUGUCGAUGAUAAGGCGUGGGCUCCAUGGCCUCGUUUGCUGUGCUCAUGACGCACUCCAGGGCUGUGUCAACCUUUUCCUGACAGACGACAGCCGUGGGCACAAGUUUUCCUCUGACCACAGUUUUUUAAAUCCAAUCAUUUACGCGUUUCAGUUUUCCUUACUGUUGGGCUAGUAGGAGGCAGGGAGAGUGGAUUUUUCUGUAAUAGGGGAGGUAUGGAAUUGUUGUACAGUGAUAUUUAAAAUCGGGCUGGCCCGAGUCCCCAUCAUGGCUCAACAGAAAUGAAUCCGACUAGCAUCUAUGAGGAUGCAGGUUCGAUCCCCGGCCUCACUCAGUGGGUUAAGGAUCCGGCAUUGCCGUGACCUGUGGUGCAGGUUGAAGACACAGCUUGGAUCCUGUGUUGCUGUGGUUGUGGCGUAGGCCAGUGGCUGCAGCCCCGAUUGGACCCCUAGCCUGGGAACCUCUGUAAGCCGUGGGUGCAGUCCUAAAAGGACACAAAUAAAAUAAAAUAAAAUAAAAUAAAAUAAAAUAAAAUAAGGCAGACCCUUAGAAACAAUCUAGUCCAAUGUCUUCGGGUUUUUUUACAAGUGAAUAAACUAAGGUCCAGAGAGCUUUUUGUCACUUACCCAAGGCCAUUAUGACAGUUUAGUACAGAAUCAGAACUAGAAUCCAAGACUCUUACCCUUCAGUUCAGUGCGCUUUCUGGGACAGAAUGUACUUUCCACUGUAGUGGCAUUUGUUUUACCUUAGAUUAUAACAGCUAAUAUUUUGUGACCACUCCCUAUGUGGCAGGAAGUGUGCUAAGCACUUAAGUGCAUUAUCCUAUUUAAUCCACAAAACAACAGCUAAGAGGUAGGAGACAUAUUAUCCCUACUUUAUAGACAAAGAGAUGAAAGCUGAGAAGGGUGAAGUAACUGAGCCAAGGUUACACAUCAUACCUUACAGCCCCUAUAUAUAUAUAUUGCUUUUUUAAGGCUGCACCCGCAGCAUAUGGAAGUUCCCAGGCUAGGAGUCCAGUUGGAGCUGUAGCCGCUGGCUUAAACCACAGCUCACGGCAACGCUGGAUCCUUAACUCACUGAGCAAGGCCAGGGAUUGAACCCACAACCUCACAGUUGCUAGUUAGAUUUGUUUCCACUGCACCACAGUGGGAACUCCGCAGCUCUUAAUUUACUUACUAAUCUAGUCCAAGAAGAAGAGAACUCAGACUAGCGGAGAUAUUUACAUUGACCGGAAUCUAUAAGGUGCAAUGUCAGAAUUUAUAUGUCCAUUAGUUUGUUUGUAUCCCGAAAAGAUAAUUUCCUGCAUUAGCACUUACAAAUCUAUUUCUGGGGGGUUCUUCCUCCUUCCAAAUGUCCUUAUCGACAUUCACCACCCUUCACCCUUGCAAAUGUGCAUAGGUUGGAACUAAGAGGAGGGCGGUGAAGAUUGAAGAAUUAAAAAUGUCGAUUGAUUAGGUAUCCUGGAACAUUGGGCAAGGAUACAUCCAUUUAUUCCAUUUGUCAUUUCCAGUCAUUCAUAAAUCUCCUCCCAUGGAAUUUUGGUAGAAUAAAGCCACUUGAAUAAAAGCCGCUGAUGUAAU
ensembl:lncRNA